rnacentral:lncRNA from 1 species
AACUGCUGAAUAUAUGAACUAAGCUUAGGAGGAGCUCGAACAUUACAUAUGUAGGCUAUACUACUGAGGAGCUUAUCACAGUUACAAUAAGUGUUUUCAAAGAUUCUCGCAUUUCUUUCUAACCAUAAACCAUAGAGCAUUUCAGUAACUGUCAUCUUGAUUAUGUGAGCUCGAGGAGAUUUCCCUUUAGAUUGCACAAUGAACCAUUGGCAGAAUAGUGACCAAUCCUGCCCAGUGAAAUCUUCAACUCCAAUCCAUUGUAGUGUUUGGUAUCUCAGCUGGGAUGCAAAGGUGCAUUGCAAGAAUAAGUGAUCUCUAGUUUCCAU